rnacentral:antisense_RNA from 1 species
CUCUAUGAGCGGCGGUGGUGGGGAUACCUUCGGGUAUGCCGGUUGCCGUGUGUGCCGGUUCGCCAACCCCACCAUUCGCCGCUCUCCCCG